rnacentral:rRNA from 1 species
UUUUAAAUUGAGAGUUUGAUCCUGGCUCAGGACGAACGCUGGCGGCGUGCCUAACACAUGCAAGUCGAGCGAUGAAGCUUCCUUCGGGAAGUGGAU